rnacentral:rRNA from 1 species
AAAUUGAAGAGUUUGAUCAUGGCUCAGAUUGAACGCUGGCGGCAGGCCUAACACAUGCAAGUCGAACGGUAACAGGAAACAGCUUGCUGUUUCGCUGACGAGUGGCGGACGGGUGAGUAAUGUCUGGGAAACUGCCUGAUGGAGGGGGAUAACUACUGGAAACGGUAGCUAAUACCGCAUAACGUCGAAAGAGCAAAGAGGGGGACCUUCGGGCCUCUUGCCAUCGGAUGUGCCCAGAUGGGAUUAGCUUGUUGGUGGGGUAA